GUUGUAAAAUAGGACAACAGAGAAGAACUAAUCGUUGAUAAUAACCAAAAGGCAAGAAGCUUAUCUUGAUGAAUAUACAACGAGGCAUCGAGAUUCGGAGUCAAAACACCAUCCAGAGAGGAGACAAAACGGGGCAGCACAAGACGAGGGAACGUCUGAACCAAGCGCGAUCCGAAGAAUGAGGGACUGCCACAAUCAGCAAUGGUAGAAUCACCAGAAUUAGCCAUGAGUUAGUAGUGGGAAAGAGCACCAAGAGCUCAGGCGACUGAUACCAUAUUAGUAAGUAUAGGAAAAUAGAAAAGAAAUACAAAAUGAGAAAUGAUUAAAUAUUCUA